rnacentral:rRNA from 1 species
AUGGAGGACAUGACUCGGGGUGGAGGAAGGGGGAGAGCUCCACAACGACCCUCCAGCAAGGAGAAUGACGCCCAUGGGCGACGCGUCGUCGGCACCGACAAAGCCGGGCAGAUUCUCAUCCGGAGCAUCCCAAACCUCUCCAACCCACGCAGCCGGCGACAGAAGAGCCACAGGCCCGCACAUCCGAUGGUCCAAGCACCUCAAGCAUGGAGACGGCGCCAUCCCACGCAAGAGCAACCACCUCGCCGCCGGCAGACACCGACGAGCCGGAUCCAAAGACAGAUCGGGCAACCUCCUGCUGCAGCAUCAACGCACAGGCCACCAGACGCGCGCGAAAAGGCCUCCAAAAGGCCGGAAGGGGGGGCCGCCACCCCGCCCCGACGCGCCGGCGAGAGGACCGAGCCGUAG